UACAUAGGGGGCAAGCGUUGUCCGGAUUCAUUGGGCGUAAAGAGCUCGUAGGCGGUCUGUCGCGUCGGCUGUGAAAACUCGGGGCUCAACCCCGAGCCUGCAGUCGAUACGGGCAGACUAGAGUGCUGUAGGGGAGACUGGAAUUCCUGGUGUAGCGGUGAAAUGCGCAGAUAUCAGGAGGAACACCGGUGGCGAAGGCGGGUCUCUGGGCAGUAACUGACGCUGAGGAGCGAAAGCGUGGGGAGCGAACAGG
rnacentral:rRNA from 1 species